ACGAGCGCAACCCCUAUCGUUAGUUGCUAGCANGUAAUGCUGAGGACUCUAACGAGACUGCCGGUGUAAACCGNGAGGAAGGUGGGGAUGACGUCAAAUCANCACGGCCCUUAUGNUCUGGGCUACACACGUGUUACAAUGGAUGGUACAAAGAGCAGCUACCUAGUGAUAGGAUGCGAAUCUUCAAAGCCUUUCCCAGUUCGGAUUGGAGUCUGCAACUCGACUCCNUGAAGUUGGAUUCGCUAGUAAUCGNANAUCANCNACGCUNCGGUGAAUACGUUCCCGGGCCUUGCACACACCGCCCGU
rnacentral:rRNA from 1 species